CUUCCUGCGAUGUACGUUACGGCGCUUAUUGUUUUGAACCAAUGCUGUUUCAUCGGGAGUCUCAUAUGACCGAGCGGCUGUCACGCCCCCUAAAGGGGACUUCAAAAACUCGGAUGCGGACACCCACCUGCGAGAGCGGGUUCAGAAACUUGCACGUCGAACGGCAUAGGCGGGUUUU
rnacentral:other from 1 species